rnacentral:lncRNA from 1 species
CCUGGCUGCCCCCGUCUUUGUGAUUUUUCCUCUGUUUGCCGAAAUGGAGAUUCCUGGUCGGAAUAUUAUCGCUUUUUUACGAGAUAAAUUGCAUAAAAAUUGAUUUUAAACAGCGGUUGACAUUCUUCGAAGUACGGUAAUGGAAUAUUUAGAAUUUUUUUGUCACGAAUUGCGCCAUGCGCACGACCCUGAUUUACCAUUUCGGAUAGUGUCUGGGACGCACGAACAAAACGCCGCUAUUCGGAUAUAACGAUGGAUUAUUUUGGACCAAACCAACAUUUGUUAUUGAAGUAGCAGUCCUGGGAGUGCAUUCUGACGAAGACAAACAAAAGAUGGAAAAUGGUUCGUGGGUGGUGGGGACAGAGAGACAGGCUGGUCAGAGCAGCAUUGAGGUGCAGCAGGAUGCAUCCUAGAUCCCAGAGGAGACACACUGGACUUUGUGCAAACUGGAAACCGCAUAUCCUGAGGAAAACGCUCCUGAUAUUCUAUCAACACAUUUCCAUGUCCAACGUGAGUAAUUCAUUUAAGUGUGAUAACUUCCGCAAGGCUGUCGGCCCAGACAGCAUUCCAAGCCGCGUCCUCAGAGCAUAUGCACAACACCUGGCUGGAGUGUUUACGGACAUAUUCAAUUUCUCCCUAUCCCAGUCUGUUGUCCUCACUUGCUUCAAGAUGUCCCCCAUUGUUCCUCUACCCAAGGAAGCAAAGGUAACUGAAGUAAAUGACUAUGGCCCUGUAGCACUCACUUCUGUCAUCAUGAAGUGCUUUGAGAGGCUAGUUAAGAUUGAUGUCACCUCCACCUUACCCAAGACCAUAGACCCACUACAACAUGCAUACCGCCCCAACAGAUCCACAGACAACGCAAUCACCAUUGCUCUGCACACUGCCCUAUCCAACCUGGACAGGAUGGAAUACCUGUGUGAGAAUGCUGUUCACUGACUACAGUUCAGCCUUCAGCACCAUAGUGCACUCCAAGCUCAUCACUAAGCUCAGAGCCCUGGGUCUGAACCCAGGGAAACUGGGGUCCUAGACUUCCUGACUUCCAGGUGGUGAAGGUAGGCAAUCAGCCAUGCUGAUCUCCACAGGGGUGCAUGCUCAGCUCUCUCCUGUGCUCCCUGUUCACCCUUAACUGCGUGGUUACGCAUGUCUCCAACUCAAUCAUCAAGUUGCUGACAAUAGAACAGUGGUAGGCCUGGUUACCACCAACAAUGAGACAGCGUACAGUGAGGAGGUGAGAGCCCUGGCAGAGUGGUGCCAGGAAAAUAACUUCUCCCUCAAUGUCAACAAAACGAAGGAGCUGAUCGUGGACUACAGGAGACAUCGACAGGGCCACAGUGGAG